GACGAACCGUGCGAACGUUAUUCGGAAUCACUGGGCUUAAAGCGCGUGUAGGCGGUCGGGUACGUCGGCGACUGAAAGCCCCCGGCUCAACCGGGGAAGGGGGGCCGAAACGGCCGGCCUGGAGGGGCGUAGGGGGACCUGGAACUUCCGGUGGAGCGGUGAAAUGCGUUGAGAUCGGAAGGAACGCCCGUGGCGAAAGCGAGGUCCUGGACGCCAUCUGACGCUGAGACGCGAAAGCCAGGGGAGCGAACGGG
rnacentral:rRNA from 1 species